UACGGGGGGGGCAAGCGUUGUUCGGAAUUACUGGGCGUAAAGAGCGCGCAGGCGGUUGUGCAAGUCGCGUGUGAAAGCCCCCGGCUCAACUGGGGAGGGUCACGCGAUACUGAUCGACUCGAAGGCAGGAGAGGGUAGUGGAAUUCCCGGUGUAGUGGUGAAAUGCGUAGAUAUCGGGAGGAACACCAGUGGCGAAGGCGACUACCUGGCCUGUUCUUGACGCUGAGGCGCGAAAGCUAGGGGAGCAAACGGGG
rnacentral:rRNA from 1 species